rnacentral:rRNA from 1 species
GACGAACGCUGGCGGCGUGCCUAAUACAUGCAAGUUGAGCGAUGAAGAUUGGUGCUUGCACCAAUUUGAAGAGCAGCGAACGGGUGAGUAACGCGUGGGUAAUCUGCCUUUGAGCGGGGGACAACAUUUGGAAACGAAUGCUAAUACCGCAUAAUAACUUUAAACAUAAGUUUUAAGUUUGAAAGAUGCAAUUGCAUCACUCAAAGAUGAUCCCGCGUUGUAUUAGCUAGUUGGUGAGGUAAAGGCUCACCAAGGCGAUGAUACAUAGCCGACCUGAGAGGGUGAUCGGCCACAUUGGGACUGAGACAAGGCCCAAAAUCCUACGGGAAGCAGCAGUAGGGAAUCUUCGGCAAUGGACGAAAGUCUGACCGAGCAACGCCGCGUGAGUGGAGAAGGUUUUCGGAUCGUAAAAAUCUGUUGGUAGAGAAGGAAGUUGGUGAGAGUGGAAAGCUCAUCAAGUGACGGUAACUACCCAGAAAGGGACGGCUAACUACGUG